rnacentral:sRNA from 2 species
GAAGGUAGUGAGUUACCUCAACCGAUUGUUCGCAGUCAGUUACAGAUCAAACCCCUUGUUCAGCUCUUUCCACCCUUCUCACUACUGCACUC